GUCGGUUGAAGGCUGGUUAAACCGUUUGGUUUACGACCACUACGACCCGGGUUCGAUCCCCGCAUUGGACA